UACGAAGGUGGCAAGCGUUACUCGGAAUUACUAGGCGUAAAGGGCACGUAGGUGGUCUGGUUAGUCUGUUGUGAAAGCUCCUUGCUUAACGGGGAGAGGUCAACAGAUACUGCCAGACUUGAGUAUGGGAGAGGGUACUGGAAUUCCCGGUGUAGCGGUGAAAUGCGCAGAGAUCGGGAGGAACACCAAUGGCGAAAGCAGGUACCUGGGCCAUUACUGACACUCAGCUGCGAAAGCUAGGGGAGCAAACAGG
rnacentral:rRNA from 1 species